AAAAAAAAAAACUUCAUAAAAGAUUAGGAAAAGUAAAAGUAUAUGAUAUAGAAACCUAUAAUAUAAAUGAAUACAAAUAAAAACAAACAAAUCGAACCAAACUAUAAAAAGUACUUGUUAUUUUUAAAGUUUAAAGAAACUAUGUAAGGCAAAUAGUACUAAAUAAAAAAAAAGGAGCAAUAACGCCCUCUUGUUUUAUCAAGAGGGAAGCUAUUGCUCCUUUUUUAGUUCAAAAACUCCUAUACAAUCAGACCAAAGUC
rnacentral:misc_RNA from 1 species